UACGUAGGGUGCGAGCGUUAAUCGGAAUACUGGGCGUAAAGCGUGCGCAGGCGGUUCGUUGUGUCCGUCGUGAAAGCCCCGGGCUUAACCUGGGAACUGCGAUGGAAACUAGUGAGCUGGAGUGUGGCAGGAGGGGGGUAGAAUUCCACGUGUAGCAGUGAAAUGCGUAGAGAUGUGGAGGAAUACCGAUGGCGAAGGCAGCCCCCUGGGCCAAUACUGACGCUCAUGCACGAAAGCGUGGGGAGCAAACAGG
rnacentral:rRNA from 1 species